CCUCAGACAAGUCAAACAAGAGCAUGAAUAAGCAGCAGAGAGAGAACAGGGGUCAGCAGGCGAGUGGGACAGUGACCUGGCCCGCACAGGGCCGAAGAAGUCCCCGGCCCUUUAUGCCCGCCCCCCCCCCCCCCCACCACCACCACCACCACCGGGCGCGCGCGGCUCGCACGCCGGCCUGCCCUUCCCGGCUCCCGGCGGACCCGGGCGUCCACGCCGGCCCCCUGCCACCCCAUGUCCGUGCCCAGGACGAGGGGCCAGGAGAGAAGGUGGCCGCCACGCGCCGGCAACUUGGACACUUACCUUCCCCGGAUGCGCUACACCAUCAAUGGAGCUUUUGAUACAACUGAUCGCGACCUCCUACCUGACAGACUCUUUCGGCUGGGCCGCCGGGACACGAUCCUCCUGGUUUCCUGUUACCUCACAACACAUCCAUCUGAGGCAGCAGCAGGGAGCCGCUCGUCACCACCGUUGAUCGUUGAUCGUUGAUCGGAGACUGGGGCUUUCAGCUCAGGAUCCUACUUGGAUGUUUCUGGUCACCUUGUCAGAAGAGUAAAAAGCUCUAGAAAAUUAUCACUGAUGCAGAAACUGAAGCUUAAGGAUAGGAAGGAGACUCCCCUCAGCUUUGGGCUAAUUAGAGUCUCAGCUUCCUGACUCAACUGUGGGGGUUCCUUGAACAACAAAGCCACAGAACAAAUGUUUAGAGGAGGGGCAAAGGCAAGUAACUUGUGUGAAACCAACUAGUUAGUCUAGACUAGACAGUGCUUUAUUCUUUGUUAUAUCAUUAAGUACAAGUCCUUCCUCCUCCUUCCCUUCUUUUCUUCCUUCCUCCCUCCUUCCUUCCUUCCUUCCUUCCUUCCUUCCUUCCUUCCUUCCUUCCUUCCAAGUAAGCUCUACGUCCAACAUGAGGCUCGAACUCACGACCCUGAGAUCAAGAAUCAUGUACUCUACUGACUGAGCC